GAUGAACGCUAGCGACAGGCUUAACACAUGCAAGUCGAGGGGCAGCACAGGGUAGCAAUACUUGGGUGGCGACCGGCGCACGGGUGAGUAACGCGUAUGCAACUUACCUAUCAGAGGGGGAUAGCCCGGCGAAAGUCGGAUUAAUACCCCAUGAAACAGGGGUCCCGCAUGGGAAUAUUUGUUAAAGAUUCAUCGCUGAUAGAUAGGCAUGCGUUCCAUUAGGCAGUUGGCGGGGUAACGGCCCACCAAACCGACGAUGGAUAGGGGUUCUGAGAGGAGGGUCCCCCACAUUGGAACUGAGACACGGUCCAAACUCCUACGGGAGGCAGCAGUGAGGAAUAUUGGUCAAUGGACGAGAGUCUGAACCAGCCAAGUAGCGUGAAGGAUGACUGCCCUAUGGGUUGUAAACUUCUUUUAUACGGGAAUAAAGUGAGGCACGUGUGCCUUUUUGUAUGUACCGUAUGAAUAAGGAUCGGCUAACUCCGUG
rnacentral:rRNA from 1 species